rnacentral:tRNA from 1 species
AGCCCUGAGGUGUUUGUCAUAUUAGAUUGCAAAUCUUAAGGAGCAGACUAACCGUCUGCCGGGGCUU